rnacentral:tRNA from 7 species
GCUAUAGCUCAGCUGGGAGAGCGCUUGCAUGGCAUGCAAGAGGUCAGCGGUUCGAUCCCGCUUAGC